ACGGGUGCGUAACGCGUGGGAAUCUGCCCUUGGGUCUGGAAUAACAGUUAGAAAUGACUGCUAAUACCGGAUGAUGACUUCGGUCCAAAGAUUUAUCGCCCAGGGAUGAGCCCGCGUCGGAUUAGCUAGUUGGUGAGGUAAAAGCUCACCAAGGCGACGAUCCGUAGCUGGUCUGAGAGGAUGAUCAGCCACACUGGGACUGAGACACGGCCCAGACUCCUACGGGAGGCAGCAGUGGGGAAUAUUGGACAAUGGGCGAAAGCCUGAUCCAGCAAUGCCGCGUGAGUGAUGAAGGCCUUAGGGUUGUAAAGCUCUUUUACCCGGGAUGAUAAUGACAGUACCGGGAGAAUAAGCCCCGGCUAACUCCGUGCCAGCAGCCGCGGUAAUACGGAGGGGGCUAGCGUUGUUCGGAAUUACUGGGCGUAAAGCGCACGUAGGCGGCUUUGUAAGUUAGAGGUGAAAGCCCGGGGCUCAACUCCGGAAUUGCCUUUAAAACUGCAUCGCUAGAAUUGUGGAGAGGUAAGUGGAAUUCCGAGU
rnacentral:rRNA from 1 species